rnacentral:rRNA from 1 species
UAAUCGCAGAUCAGCAUGCUGCGGUGAAUACGUUCCCGGGCCUUGUACACACCGCCCGUCACACCAUGGGAGUCGGUAACACCCGAAGUCGGUAGCCUAACCGUAAGGAGGGCGCCGCCGAAGGUGGGAUUGAUGACUGGGGUGAAGUCGUAACAAGGUAAC